rnacentral:rRNA from 1 species
UACAGAGGUCUCAAGCGUUGUUCGGAUUUAUUGGGCGUAAAGGGCGCGUAGGCGGUGAGAUGCGUCCGUUGUGAAAUCGCCCGGCUCAACUGGGCGGGGUCAGCGGAUACGGUCUCACUUGAGCAAGCUAGGGGGCAAUGGAAUUCCCGGUGUAGUGGUGGAAUGCGUAGAUAUCGGGAGGAACACCAGUGGCGAAGGCGGUUGCCUGGGGCUUUGCUGACGCUGAGGCGCGAAAGCGUGGGGAGCGAUCCGG